CUUUUGUGCAAGCAAAAUCCAUAAAGCUUAACAAUAUUUAUCUGCUUUAUUUUUUAUAAUAUUUUCACUUCAAUUCUGAAACUCACAUCAAAAGAUGACACAUCUGCUUCAUAGUUGUGAAGUUUCUUUAAGGUGGCAAAUUUGCCACAUGAUAAUUGAGUCUUGUAUACACUUCCAUAUGCUUAUGUCACGAUGCAAUAUCUAAUGUCAAAG
rnacentral:lncRNA from 1 species